GAUUAAGUUAUUAAGGGCGCACGGUGGAUGCCUUGGCACUAGAAGCCGAUGAAGGACGUUACUAACGACGAUAUGCUUUGGGUAGCUGUAAGUAAGCGUUGAUCCAGAGAUUUCCGAAUGGGGAAACCCAGCACGAGUUAUGUUGUGUUAUCGACAAGUGAAUUCAUAGCUUGUCAGAAGGCAGACCCGGAGAACUGAAACAUCUUAGUACCCGGAGGAAGAGAAAGAAAAUUCGAUUCCCUGAGUAGCGGCGAGCGAAACGGGAAGAGCCCAAACCAAUA
rnacentral:rRNA from 1 species